UACCCACGUAAUUUUAUUUAGUUCCAACAAUUGCUCUCAGUUCAGGGUCAACAGACUAUCCUAUCCCCUGCAUCCUCUGUAUUCCCCGCAUCCCCGCAUCCCUUCCGGGGAAGGUCAAAGGGCUACCGACAAAAGACAACAAAUGCACGUGACAAAAGUUUCUCCCGUGGUCCCCGCAGCCCGAGGCUGCGCAGCUCGCGCGUGGGGAUCUCGGUCUCACGCAGAGAGGGCUGGCCACGUUAGAAGCUGCUCAGAGUCGCGGUCGCAUGCGGAAGCCGGCCAAGACCGGAACCAAGCGAGGCCUGUUACCUUUUCCUGCUCCUCGCGAAGCCGCGCCACCUCUGGUGCGCGCAGCGGAGCGGCGGCUGAGGCCUCUGCAAAGGGCUGGGGCUCGGGCUCCGGUUCGGACGGGGGCUCCAUGCCCGGCGUCGCAGCCUCAGCGAGGCGAACAAGUCCUAAACAAGUGUUUAUGGAGGCGGCGUGGCCGACGGAUGCCCAGAGCCCGCGCGCUCGCCCUCAUGCACAGCACGCCUCUCUCUGAAGAGGCCGCGCUCACUUUCCCCGCUGCCCCGGGGGCCGCCGCUCGCGUCCGGGCUACCCGCGGCCGCA
rnacentral:lncRNA from 1 species